rnacentral:rRNA from 1 species
GAUGAACGCUGGCGGCGUGCUUAACACAUGCAAGUCGAACGGAGAGCCAAUGACGGAGUUUUCGGACAACGGAUUUGGUUUCUUAGUGGCGGACGGGUGAGUAACGCGUGAGCAACCUGCCUUGGAGUGGGGAAUAACAGCUGGAAACAGUUGCUAAUACCGCAUAAUGCAGCGAGGGGACAUCCUCUUGCUGCCAAAGAUUUAUCGCUCUGAGAUGGACUCGCGUCUGAUUAGCUGGUUGGCGGGGUAAC